CAUACUAUUCGGCAGAUCUGGAAAGUGGUGGAAGAGAUCAAGGAGAGAAAAUUCUACUAAGUUUGCUUAGCCAUAUCAGCCUCAGUUUCCUAAAUGAUAAAAUGAGAAAAAAACUCCCUCAAGAGCAUAUUCAGAAGAUCAUACAGUAUGAUCAACUGGGACUUCCUGGAUGCAACGAGACUCACUGACCAGAAGGAAAGGCAGCAGAUCCAGAAGGACGAAUGAGAGUGGAGAGCAGCUGCUGCAUACAAAGCCCAGUGCCUGGCCUUCCCCAGUCUAUAGAGGAAUUUGCACUUUCCCUGCUAGUGUCUCCAGGAUGCUUCAUCUCUGCAGAAUGCUUCUUCAUUUCCAUUAUCAUUAAGUGUCUUGCUAACUCCUCUUUGUGGAUAAUAUUUUCUUCAAAAGGUGCUUAUGGUUUGUUUCUAUCAUUCUUUUUGUAUUGUCUUUAA